UACAUAGGUGGCGAGCGUUGUCCGGAUUUACUGGGCGUAAAGGGAGCGUAGGCGGACUUUUAAGUGAGAUGUGAAAUACCCGGGCUCAACUUGGGUGCUGCAUUUCAAACUGGAAGUCUAGAGUGCAGGAGAGGAGAAUGGAAUUCCUAGUGUAGCGGUGAAAUGCGUAGAGAUUAGGAAGAACACCAGUGGCGAAGGCGAUUCUCUGGACUGUAACUGACGCUGAGGCUCGAAAGCGUGGGGAGCAAACAGGAUUAGAUA
rnacentral:rRNA from 1 species